rnacentral:rRNA from 1 species
UACGUAGGGUCCGAGCGUUGUCCGGAUUUAUUGGGCGUAAAGAGCUCGUAGGCGGCUUGCUAAGUCAGGUGUGAAACCUCCAGGCUCAACCUGGAGCCGCCACCUGAUACUGGUAUGGCUAGAGUCCGGUAGGGGACCACGGAAUUCCUGGUGUAGCGGUGAAAUGCGUAGAUAUCGGAAGGAACAUCAGUGGCGAAAGCGACUUCCUGGACCAGUACCGACGUUCAGGCACGAAAGCGUGGGGAGCAAACAGG